GUCCACGCCGUAAACGAUGUCGACUAGCCGUUGGUCCUAUUUACAGGAUUAGUGGCGCAGCUAACGCAUUAAGUCGACCGCCUGGGGAGUACGGCCGCAAGGUUAAAACUCAAAUGAAUUGACGGGGGCCCCGCACAAGCGGUGGAGCAUGUGGUUUAAUUCGAUGCAACGCGAAGAACCUUACCUACCCUUGACAUCCAGAGAAUCUGUUAGAGAUAGUAGAGUGCCUUCGGGAGCUCUGAGACAGGUGCUGCAUGGCUGUCGU
rnacentral:rRNA from 1 species